CCUACGGGGGGCAGCAGUGAGGAAUAUUGGUCAAUGGCCGGAAGGCUGAACCAGCCAUGCCGCGUGAAGGUCAGUGCCCUAUGGGCGUUAAACUUCUUUUGUGCGGGAGCAAUAAUGGUCACGUGUGGCCAGACGAGAGUACCGUACGAAUAAGCAUCGGCUAACUCCGUUCCAGCAGCCGCGGUAAUACGGGGGAUGCAAGCGUUAUCCGGAUUUAUUGGGUUUAAAGGGUGCGUAGGCUGGGAGGUAAGUCAGCGGUGAAAUGCCCCCGCUCAACGGGGUGAAGUGCCAUUGAUACUGCCUUGCUGGAAGGCGGAUGCCGUGGGAGGAAUGUGUGGUGUAGCGGUGAAAGGCAUAGAUAUCACACAGAACACCGAUUGCGAAGGCAGCUCACGAAUCCGCGAUUGACGCUGAUGCACGAAAGCGUGGGUAUCAAACAGGAUUAGAUACCCUGGUAGUC
rnacentral:rRNA from 1 species